ensembl:snRNA LOC120095366 U6 spliceosomal RNA
GGGCUCUCUUCAGCGGCACACAUAUUAAAAUUGGAACAACACGGAGCAGAUGAGCAUGGCUCCUGUGCAAAGAUAAUACAAAAAUUCAGUGUCCCAUAUUUUU